AAAAGGAAUUUCAAUCGUGUUGAUAUUUGGCUCUGUUGACUAAUGAGUUUGCCGACCACUGUCCUAGUGUAUCCAGGUUCCGUACCAAGAACACAGUGUCACAGGCUGGGAGAGCAACAGGGAACACGACACACCACCCCGUUCAGGUGGCGAGCCGAUCCCAAGGAGGUGCAGGUACAAGCCCAAGUUAAGAAGAAAAGUGAUUCUGCUACAAGGCAGAAAGAACUUCUUGCUAAACCAGUUGUUAAAAAUAAGACAACAGGCCCCACAUGGAGCAACUUAUGGGAAGCCCCAUGUCACCAAAAGGAGACAAUCACACCUGCAGCCUCUCCCGGAAAUGGGAGGGUAAGCCAGUCAGUGAGGAGCAGCCUGGCCAGCGCUGUGAGGGCAUCUGUCAUCCCCCAGGAAAGCAUCCGGGGCACAGCCGUCCAAGCUCUGCUAGAGGACUUCCUUGUUCCCGCCUCCUUCUGCCCAGAGCAGUCUCUCAUUGGCACAGCCUUCGGAGCUCCCUUCUAUGGACUGGAUGGGAUGCUGCCAGAGCCAUGAAUCACCGAAUAAAGCCAAUAUCUUUAAAAUGUA